CAGCAGCCGCGGUAAUACGAAGGGGGCUAGCGUUGUUCGGAUUUACUGGGCGUAAAGCGCACGUAGGCGGACUUUUAAGUCAGGGGUGAAAUCCCGGGGCUCAACCCCGGAACUGCCUUUGAUACUGGAAGUCUUGAGUAUGGUAGAGGUGAGUGGAAUUCCGAGUGUAGAGGUGAAAUUCGUAGAUAUUCGGAGGAACACCAGUGGCGAAGGCGGCUCACUGGACCAUUACUGACGCUGAGGUGCGAAAGCGUGGGGAGCAAACAGGAUUAGAGACCCCGGUAGUCCCUGUCUCUUAUAC
rnacentral:rRNA from 1 species